AACAACUUCCACCUUACAUUCCUGUUCAUUCGUCCGGUAAGGCAAGUUGCCUAAACAACAUGUGGGUUUCUUGUGUUGGAUACCUUGCGUAGGUAUUGAUCUCGCUUAUCCAGUUUCUUUUCAUCUGUUGUCGUGUUUAUGACAUUUGAUGAAACCGAAAACGUGUCUCUCUGAACCACAUCAUUAAUUCUUGUGUUGAUGUAGUGGAGCUUUGAGCCUUGCUUGGUAUCUUAUUGAUGUAGUACCUGAUGUGGGCAUGGGUCUCAUGGGAUCCUUGUUUUGUCCUGGUUUGGUGUUUACGCUUUGUGAAAUGACUGCUUGAUGCACGUUGUCUAGUACAGCUUGUGUCAGGCUUUGUCUAUGAGGAAUGUUACCUGGU
rnacentral:misc_RNA from 1 species